UUGGGGUUUCCCACGAUGCCAAGAAGCUGACGAAAGGGAAUCUCACCGCUCAUUCGAGCAGGUGCUUGCCACGUCUCAUUAUCGGGUUGGUAGUGAAAUUUGUCUUCUUUUAAUUUUAGAUUUUAGGUUUUAUUUAUUUAGGAAAAAUGGAUAAUUUUAAAAAUAAUUUUUUAAAAAUAAUUUUUAUAUCACUUAUAAAAAUGAAUGAACCAAGAAUAGUUUCAUCUUUCAUGAAAAAUAUAUUAUUUAAUUGUUUUUAUCAUUCAUUUUAUCUUUUUUAGCAUGAAAUUAUUAUUUGAGAAAACUUGAUGACUGGUGCGGACAUGGGACAAAGCCAUGAGCCAUUGUACGGAUGGACAAUCAGAGAUAAAGUUAGUAUGCUCCGAAGAAUCUCAUAAAAGAGAGGCGAAUUACAUUCAAAAUUAGCAUUAUUCAUGAGUAAAUUUUAUCUACAGUGAACCCCCCUCACUCUAAUGCUCCAAUCAUGCGAUUUUUCAAAGUUCUUGACAUUUCUUUUUCUUUUUUUUCCCAUUUUAAUUCACUUUCGUCAAUUUGUGUGCGGAAGUUUAUACUUGCUCAUUCAUUUGCCUCGGGCUAACCAAACACCUAGUUACAGUCUAAUUACGCCCUGCAGCUAUUUAAUCACAAACUGGACAAUUGUACGUUUUAUAAAGUCUCUACCUAAACCCCUAAUAUCAAGUGAAUGACGUUAUUCGUUUGAUCACUGUAAUUUCGUUUGUUCUUCAUGCAUUUGCUUUUUCAGCACCUUAAAUUCUAGUAUUCGUCUUUCAUUUACUUCAAAUUUCGAGCCUAUUAAUUUCUUGUCAAAUCAAUGCAAAAAUCAUUUCACAAAAAAAAAAACCAAAAUCAAACUUUAGAUGAAAGAUAUCUCACUUCCUAAGUAUAUUCGCAUUUUUGGUGAAACAGAAUGUAUUGUCAUUUUUUAUUGAGAGGAUAUUUAAAUAUUAAAUCAUAUUUUCGCCUAAGCAGUCCCAUCAUAUCCCACACUUAUCUAGGAAUAUGAACUCUCUCUAAAGGAUUUUAACCCUCAGUUUGAUUAUCAUGAAAAAUUUUGGAUAUAGAUUUAGUUUCUUUAAAAACGUGACUUGGGUUGGCAAAAAUCAAACACGAUUCAAUAAAUGCCUGAAUGCACAUAACGUGUUGUAGUCCCUAACAUGCGUCGCAAGUCGCAUAUUUUAGUAUAGACAAGCCAACCCUGAUUGUUCAAGUGCUUCAGGCGCGUCUCUCCUCCCAGUGCAUUCGCAUGCUCGGAGCCUUUGCUUCCUUUGUUCUUGUUUUCCCGGUUAGAUUUGCUAAUCUCAUUCCCGAUCAAUGGAAAAUUCGAGUGAACUUUCGAACUGCACAUGGCGGAUUAGGACUGAAAUGUCUGUUACUGCGUUCAGUGUGGUAUAUUGCUUUAAUGGGAAAUGCUGGCGAUUGAUCGACUGACGGAUAUUAUGGGGAAUGCGAUUAAUGCUGCGGUUUAUUCUGUUUUGGCUAUUCCGAGCUCCCUUUGUGACACUUGUUAUGGAUUUGAUCAGAAUAGGCCACGGGAGAGAGAGAGGAAGAGAUUUAGAAGGAAAUGGCAGGAGGGAAGCUCCGUACAUGGCAGACUCUACAUUGAGGGCUCUCACGCCAGGAUCAUCAAAGAAUCAACUAAGGCUGCUGUUGAGGAAGGCCAGUUUAUUGAGUUAUAACCAGCUUUCCAUUGCUAUAAGACUCAAGCUCCAUAUUUAGUGCUUGUCCUGGCGAAUGCUGAUUGAGUUUCCAUUUGUAACUUCUCAAAUUGGCUCAACAACAAUUAGAGCACGCAAGUCCAGCG
rnacentral:lncRNA from 1 species